rnacentral:lncRNA from 1 species
CUGAAAUACAUGACUUAUCAAUGAGGUUAGAAUUACAUUCAUAGAAACAUCAGUGUAUGAUGCUGUUUGGUGGCACAUGCUUCAGGGAAUUGCUUACAUAAACAGAGUUGCUGGGAGCAUGAAGCUCAAUAGAAGUCAGUGUAGCAGAGUGAUCAGCUGAAAAGUUGAUGACUCUCACCAUCUCUACUCCGGAGGACAUGGCUGCUCUCUGGCAGUGACCGCUGCCCACAAAUAUGGAUGUGGGCUCUACCAUAAUUUCCCCUUACAGAAGAACAAAGACUAAUGGAAGGAGAGUCCAACACGGAAGAUACAUUGCUUCUGCAGUUCAAGUCCAUUUUGCUGUAGGUCACCUAUGGGCCCAGCCACCUUCCUGACUUGUCAUCAGCUUUUCUCUGUGUUGUCAGGCCCAGGUCAGGACACCUGGCUCCUCACGGUCACCGAGUCUCAAACCCAGAGAAAAAAGAAAAAAUUUCUCCUCACCUCAGACUAAUUUCUACUCACUAAGUCCUCAUUUUUUGUCCCAGGAUGAAUAUCUUCCUAGUAUAAUGGACAGUGGAGAACUUCUAUCUGUUAUAGGGAAACCCAACUAAUAUAUAAAAGAGUGAGACUGGCUCUGUGAUCCCAAGAAGAAAAUAACAAAGAUGAUGCUUUUUCU